CCCUAGUCUCUUCAUUCGGUAAAUGGUUGAUAACAGAGGCAGCUGAACAGAAAAAGCUAGACACUUCUUCGGUUGGACUAUUUGUGUAUUGUUUCUGGGAAAGAUCUAGUUUUAAGGGAAUAGAGCCAAAGAUUUUGUUGAAAUGGCAGAGAAUGCAAAAAUGGAAGAACAUCUACAACUAUCUGAUGAUGACGGUUCGGAUGAUCUGACAGAAGUUAGCCGUGAUGCACAUUCCGCUGCAAAUGUGGUACGUGUUAGGAAGAGGAAAAGCGGAAACGAUCAUUUUCUUGAAGAUUUCAGUAGUGCGGCUGCCUUACUUGGGGACAAACUUGUGCAAGCUUCAGCCAUAUUGGUACAACCUCAAGUGAAUUUACAAAACAAAACUGCCAAGGUGAUUCAAAUUCAAAGCAAGAUCGAAGCAUAAGCAACCAAUAUAGAGGAAGCAUAAACUUCCGGUUGAAUCUGAAAGGGUAACCGAAGAGAUGGAUGUCGUACAUGAUAGAGAAAGUAUAAUUGCAGAUGAAGAAGAUAUGAUAAGCAACUUGCGAGAUGAGAUUAUUCAUCACAUUCUAUCUUUUCUUGACAUGAAAUUUGCCAUUCAGACAAUUACAUG